GGCCCGGUAGCUCAGGGGUAGAGCGCUGCCCUGAUAAGGCAGAGGCAUCCUCUCGCCCCAUAUGGGGGUGAUGUCUCGAUAGAGGUCCCUGGUUCGAGUCCAGGCCGGGCCA
rnacentral:tRNA from 1 species